rnacentral:rRNA from 1 species
GAUGAACGCUGGCGGCGUGCUUAACACAUGCAAGUCGAACGAUGAAGCCCAGCUUGCUGGGUGGAUUAGUGGCGAACGGGUGAGUAACACGUGAGUAACCUGCCCUUGACUCUGGGAUAAGCCUGUUAAACUGGGUCUAAUACUGGAUAUGACUUCUCAUCGCAUGGUGGGGGGUGGAGAGAUUUAUUGGUCUUGGAUGGACUCGCGGCCUAUCAGCUUGUUGGUGAGGUAAUGGCUCACCAAGGCGACGACGGGUAGCCGGCCUGAGAGGGUGACCGGCCACACUGGGACUGAGACACGGCCCAGACUCCUACGGGAGGCAGCAGUGGGGAAUAUUGCACAAUGGGCGCAAGCCUGAUGCAGCGACGCAGCGUGAGGGAUGACGGCCUUCGGGUUGUAAACCUCUUUCAGUAGGGAAGAAGCGAGAGUGACGGUACCUGCAGAAGAAGCGCCGGCUAACUACGUG